AAGCCAGUCGAAGAUACCAGCUGGCUGCAACUGUUUAUUAAAAACACAGCACUGUGCAAACACGAAAGUGGACGUAUACGGUGUGACGCCUGCCCGGUGCUGGAAGGUUAAUUGAUGGGGUCAGCCGCAAGGCGAAGCUCCUGAUCGAAGCCCCAGUAAACGGCGGCCGUAACUAUAACGGUCCUAAGGUAGCGAAAUUCCUUGUCGGGUAAGUUCCGACCUGCACGAAUGGCGUAAUGAUGGCCAGGCUGUCUCCACCCGAGACUCAGUGAAAUUGAACUCGCUGUGAAGAUGCAGUGUACCCGCGGCAAGACGGAAAGACCCCGUGAACCUUUACUAUAGCUUGACACUGAACAUUGAGCCUUGAUGUGUAGGAUAGGUGGGAGGCUUUGAAGUGUGGACGCCAGUCUGCAUGGAGCCAACCUUGAAAUACCACCCUUUAACGUUUGAUGUUCUAACCUAGGCCCAUAAACUGGGUCGGGGACCGUGUCUGGUGGGUAGUUUGACUGGGGCGGUCUCCUCCUAAAGAGUAACGGAGGAGCACGAAGGUUGGCUAAGCAUGGUCGGACAUCAUGCGGUUAGUGCAAAGGCAUAAGCCAGCUUGACUGCGAGAGUGACGGCUCGAGCAGGUACGAAAGUAGGUCUUAGUGAUCCGGUGGUUCUGAAUGGAAGGGCCAUCGCUCAACGGAUAAAAGGUACUCCGGGGAUAACAGGCUGAUACCGCCCAAGAGUUCAUAUCGACGGCGGUGUUUGGCACCUCGAUGUCGGCUCAUCACAUCCUGGGGCUGAAGUAGGUCCCAAGGGUAUGGCUGUUCGCCAUUUAAAGUGGUACGCGAGCUGGGUUUAGAACGUCGUGAGACAGUUCGGUCCCUAUCUGCCGUGGGCGUUGGAAGAUUGAGAGGGGUUGCUCCUAGUACGAGAGGACCGGAGUGAACGCACCACUGGUGUUCGGGUUGUCAUGCCAAUGGCAUUGCCCGGUAGCUAAGUGCGGAAGAGAUAACCGCUGAAAGCAUCUAAGCGGGAAACUUGCCUCGAGAUGAGUCUUCCCUGUCGCUUUAAGUGACCUAAAGGAACGUUUAAGACUAAGACGUUGAUAGGCUGGGUGUGUAAGCGUAGCGAUACGUUGAGCUAACCAGUACUAAUGAACCGUGAGGCUUAACCUG
rnacentral:rRNA from 1 species